rnacentral:rRNA from 1 species
UACGAAGGGUGCAAGCGUUACUCGGAAUUACUGGGCGUAAAGCGUGUGUAGGCGGCCACGUAAGUCGGAUGUGAAAGCCCCAGGCUCAACCUGGGAAGUGCACUCGAUACUGCGUGGCUUGAGUAUCGGAGAGGUUGGUGGAAUUCUCGGUGUAGAGGUGAAAUUCGUAGAUAUCGAGAGGAACACCGGUGGCGAAGGCGGCCAACUGGACGAAUACUGACGCUGAGACACGAAAGCGUGGGGAGCAAACAGG